AGAGUUUGAUCCUGGCUCAGGACGAACGCUGGCGGCGUGCUUAAUACAUGCAAGUCGAACGAACUCUGGUAUUGAUUGGUGCUUGCAUCAUGAUUUACAUUUGAGUGAGUGGCGAACUGGUGAGUAACACGUGGGAAACCUGCCCAGAAGCGGGGGAUAACACCUGGAAACAGAUGCUAAUACCGCAUAACAACUUGGACCGCAUGGUCCGAGUUUGAAAGAUGGCUUCGGCUAUCACUUCUGGAUGGUCCCGCGGCGUAUUAGCUAGAUGGUGAGGUAACGGCUCACCAUGGCAAUGAUACGUAGCCGACCUGAGAGGGUAAUCGGCCACAUUGGGACUGAGACACGGCCCAAACUCCUACGGGAGGCAGCAGUAGGGAAUCUUCCACAAUGGACGAAAGUCUGAUGGAGCAACGCCGCGUGAGUGAAGAAGGGUUUCGGCUCGUAAAACUCUGUUGUUAAAGAAGAACAUAUCUGAGAGUAACUGUUCAGGUAUUGACGGUAUUUAACCAGAAAGCCACGGCUAACUACGUGCCAGCAGCCGCGGUAAUACGUAGGUGGCAAGCGUUGUCCGGAUUUAUUGGGCGUAAAGCAAGCGCAGGCGGUUUUUUAAGUCUGAUGUGAAAGCCUUCGGCUCAACCGAAGAAGUGCAUCGGAAACUGGGAAACUUGAGUGCAGAAGAGGACAGUGGAACUCCAUGUGUAGCGGUGAAAUGCGUAGAUAUAUGGAAGAACACCAGUGGCGAAGGCGGCUGUCUGGUCUGUAACUGACGCUGAGGCUCGAAAGUAUGGGUAGCAAACAGGAUUAGAUACCCUGGUAGUCCAUACCGUAAACGAUGAAUGCUAAGUGUUGGAGGGUUUCCGCCCUUCAGUGCUGCAGCU
rnacentral:rRNA from 1 species